GGCGGCGUAGCUCAGUUGGUAGAGCAAACGGCUCAUAUCCGUUCGGUCAUAGGUCCGAGUCCUAUCGCCGCUA
rnacentral:tRNA from 1 species